GUGACUUGCCGGCAACUGGAGUGCUGGGCCGCCGGACACAAUCUGUCGACUCUAGUCUGCUGCGUUACCCGGGAAGCGCCGGGGCAGCUGCUGUGAGGGGUCUUAGGAGAUCAUAGGACUCUUUUGAAGAGCUGCCAUGUCUAGAAAUUUUGCAUCUUCCUUGGAACAGAACAACAAUACCUAUGAAACCAAAACCUCAAGUCUUCGAAUGUCAGAGAAGAAAUGUUCAUGGGCAUCCUAUAUGACCAACUCCCCUACUCUCAUCGUUAUGAUUGGUUUGCCAGCCCGGGGAAAAACCUAUGUGUCCAAGAAAUUAACCCGCUACCUCAACUGGAUUGGAGUGCCCACCAAAGUGUUUAACCUUGGGGUGUAUCGGCGUGAAGCAGUCAAGUCCUACAAAUCCUACGACUUCUUUCGGCAUGACAACGAAGAGGCCAUGAAGAUCCGCAAGCAGUGUGCUCUGGUGGCACUGCAGGAUGUCAAGGCCUAUCUCACUGAGGAGAACGGGCAGAUUGCGGUGUUUGAUGCCACCAAUACUACCCGGGAGAGGAGGGACAUGAUUUUGAACUUUGCUAAGCAGAAUUCCUUCAAGGUAUUCUUUGUGGAAUCUGUCUGUGAUGAUCCUGAUGUCAUUGCCGCUAAUAUCCUGGAGGUAAAGGUGUCAAGCCCUGACUAUCCUGAGAGGAACCGGGAGAAUGUGAUGGAGGACUUCCUGAAGAGAAUCGAGUGCUAUAAAGUCACCUACCGACCCCUCGACCCAGACAACUAUGACAAGGAUCUUUCUUUCAUCAAAGUGAUAAAUGUGGGCCAGCGAUUUUUAGUCAACAGAGUCCAGGACUACAUCCAGAGCAAGAUAGUCUACUACCUCAUGAAUAUCCACGUCCAGCCUCGCACCAUUUACCUUUGCCGGCACGGAGAGAGCGAGUUCAACCUCUUGGGGAAGAUUGGGGGUGACUCAGGCCUCUCAGUGCGAGGAAAGCAGUUUGCCCACACGCUAAGGACAUUUCUGGAGGAACAGGAGCUAGCAGACCUCAAAGUGUGGACAAGCCAGUUGAAGAGGACUAUCCAGACUGCAGAGUGUCUUGGGGUGACCUAUGAGCAGUGGAAAAUUCUGAACGAGAUUGAUGCUGGCGUGUGUGAGGAGAUGACCUAUGCAGAGAUUGAGCAGCAGUAUCCAGAAGAAUUUGCACUUCGAGACCAAGAGAAGUACUUGUAUCGGUAUCCUGGUGGGGAGUCAUACCAGGACCUGGUGCAGCGGCUGGAACCUGUCAUCAUGGAGCUGGAACGCCAGGGCAAUGUCCUCGUCAUCUCCCACCAGGCUGUCAUGCGCUGCCUCCUGGCCUACUUUUUGGAUAAAGGCGCAGAUGAGCUACCAUACUUGAGGUGCCCUCUUCAUACCAUCUUCAAACUUACUCCUGUGGCCUACGGUUGCAAAGUGGAAACAAUUAAACUCAAUGUGGAGGCUGUGGACACUCACCGUGACAAGCCAACCCACAACUUCCCCAAGAGGCAAACCCCUGUAAGGAUGAGAAGGAACAGCUUUACGCCUCUGUCCAGUUCGAAUACAAUAAGCCGUCCAAGAAAUUACAGUGUUGGGAGCCGGCCCCUCAUGCCCCUCAGCCCUCUCCGUGCCCUGGACAUUCAAGAAGGGGCCGACUAGCCGAAGACCUGAGUCAGCACUCCAGUGGUGUAACCGUGUGUUUCCCUCCAGCCUUGGCCUCCUGCCCUUGUCACUAAUCUCCAGGGAGUCAUUUAACUUCCUCCCCUCACUCCUACUUCCAACACUUCACCAUUAAUCAUAACACAGAACCUGAGAUUGUGCAUUUGCGGACCGACUUCAGCCAGUUUACGGUUUGAAACAUCCCCCCCCUGGAGGGCAGGUUGGCAAGUUGGGUCUUUAGGGCAGGUCUGGAGGAGGAGGAGGAAAAGGAUGUACUCCACUGGGGCUAAGCAUGCCCCAUGCACUUGCUUUUUCUCUCCGGUGUCUCCCCGGUGUCUAAACACACUAAUGUUCUGUGUUGGUGAAGUGGUGGUGGUGGGGGAUGUUGGAGGGAGACACAAAAGCCCGAUUUUUCUUUACCUUUGUCUUUAUAAGGUGUGUUUUAUAGUCGUUACUUGACUGAUUUCCCCCCCUUAUAUGUUCCCUUUGGGUUGUCCAGUGUGAUGCCAAGGCACGGUGGUGUCUGUCUAGGAAGGAAAGAAUGGUUGGUGAGAGAGAAGUCUGCCCCAGUUGAUGCUUUUGCAGAGGCCUAAGUGGUUCUGGAUGGGGAGGAGCUUUCUUUCUCCUUUCCUCUCCAGCCAGGGCCUGCAAGGCCCAGCCCAGGCUCUAGAACAUCCACAGAACAAUCUGGAGCUUGCAAGUGAACAGAGGGCGAGACUUUUUGUCUUCUUUUCCUGAGAAACAAUCCCACAUCUUGGAUACCCUUGGGGAAUCUGGCUCUGAGACAUGGGAAAUAGCUUGGUUUGUGUUUUUAACUUGAAGAGCCAGGCGUGGGGUUUUUGGUGUCUGGAGAGGGUGUUAGAAGAGCAGCGUGGUCUCCAGCUCUCUUCGGGGACAGUCAUAUGUUUUCUCCAGGGGCUCCCAGGUUCUUUGCCAAUCACAACAACUUUUCUGGAAAGGUUAAUGACCUCUGGGGCUGUUUAGAGGACAGAGUUAGUUCAGGAGUCACCACUGAUGUUUGAAUUGCUCAGGGUAAAAGGCAGAGAAGAAUUCACUAAUGCUGCUUAUUAUUUUCUAAUAAUUUUCAGUACACUCCUCUUAAGUUUAAAAACAAUUCUUUCUACAUGAGCAAUUUUUUAAAAUAUGGGCAGUAUUUUCCCCAAAUGUGGUAAAGCUUGAUGGUGAAUUUAAUCUCUCUCUUUGGAAUAUUUUUGUGUUCAUAAGGAGAAACGAUCUUAUAAAAGGAGUCCUUGGAACCCUGUGGGGUCUAGCUCUUGACUGUAUUAAUCUAUUCACCUCUGUCAUUUCAUUUUCUUUGCAGAGCUAAAUAGGAAAUGUUUAGAGAAAGGAUUCUUAGCCCCUUGAUGGCCCAUGAUAGCUUAUCCUCUCUCCUAAUUUUAUAUGCAAACUGUAUGAACAUAUGUAUAUUUUUCUGAGAAGCAAAUUUAAAAUUCUCAUGAGGUUUUUUUUUUUUUUUUUUGAGAUGGAGUCUCACUCUGUACCCUAGGUAGAGUAUUGUGGCAUCAUAGCUCACAGCAGCCUUGGCCUCCUGGGUCCAAGACAUCCCUUUGCUUCAGCCUCUGAGUAGCUAGCACUACAGGCACCUGCCACAAUGCAUGGCUAGUUUUUCUAUUUUUUUAUUUUUGAUUUUUUUUAAGUAGAAAUGGGGUCUCACUUUUGCUCAGGCUGGUCUUGAACUCCUUAGCCAGUAGCCAGGCAAUUGACAUGCUUCAGCCUUCCAGAGUGCUAGGAUUACAGGCAUGAGCCACCACACCCAGCCUUCAGAUUUUUUUUUUUUUUCUUUUUGCAGUUUUGGCCGGGGCUGGGUUUGAACCCGCCACCUCCGGCAUAUGGGGCUGGUGCCCUACUCCUUUGAGCCACAGGCACUGCUCCAGAUGAGAUUUUUAAAACUCAUCAGAGGUGAGUACAUGACUCUCCACUUUAAAGUUUUCAGUUUGUCUUUUAGAGGUAACCAGUAUUUUCCUAGGAUAUUUUUGUUUUGUUUUGUUUUUGCUAGGUAAUAGAAGACCUUUUGUCAUGUUUCUCAUCCAGGAGAAUUCCUCAGAAUCCCCUUUAGAACUUUUGAAACACAGGCAGUCUUGUGUCUACCUUAGGCGUAAAUACUGACUCAGAACCUCUGAGAAUGGGGUCUGGACAUGUGUGUUUAAAUGGCUUCUCUAGUGGUUCUGAUUUGUAGCCUAGGUUAACAAGUCCACCUUAGGAAAUUGGGUGGAAAAAAUCCUGGAAUAGUAGUUCCUGGACAAAGCGUCAAUCUAGGAAUUCUGAAUUCCUCAUGGUUCUGAAAGGAGGGUUCUAUAUUUGAGCAGAUCAUAGUCUUAAAUGAAGUAACACCUUCAAAGGCAGCCUGCUGUGUUUAGAGGGUUAUUGUAGGUUGUAGCUCCAUCCGUAACCCUUUACAUUCAUUGCAGGGUAAUGUGGAAGAAAACACUGAAUUCAAUAAUUGUGCUUGGAUAAUAGCUUGGGACUUGACACGCCCUGGAGAGAGGUACUAAGGUAGUGCUUAUAGGAUGAUAAAGACGUCUUCAUAGGCAACUGACGCUUGGCCCUGAGUCCUUUACUCGUACAUUCCAAGUAGGAUACCAUGACCAGUUUCCAAGGGUUGCUUGCCUAGAUUCUUCUCAAAACUGCGUCCAAGACAUAAAGUAACCUGUUGUUCCUGUUGAGAUUUACGUAAUCUGUAUUUAGUAUCUUUGUUUCUGGGGCUUGGGCUGCUGGGGGCAGUGGAGGGGGAAGGACACACAGAAACAGAAGAAAAGAUCCUUGCCGUGAAGAAAAUUAUUUUAAGACACAGGACACAUAAUUGGUAACAAGAACAUCUACAAAAGAGCAAGACACAGAGUCCAGAAGUGCUGCCCAUUGCACAGGCUGCCUCUUCUUCUGACUUCUUUCUUAUCCUACAGCUGUAAUAUGAAAGGGUUACCCAGUGGGGAUGUCCCCCACCAAGGUGAGAAUGAGAUGUGGUCUGGGGGGCGUGUGGCACUUUUACAAGGUCGCCUUUGUUACCUUUGCUUGGAGGGUGGCAUCUGGAGCCCACGUGGGCAUUCAGCCUUUUUUUCCUGCUGCAAAGUGGGAAUGGUUCAGAACUAACGAAUGGGAUGAGGGAGGACUUUGAUCUAAAGACUUUGAAUUUAGUGUGAGGGGACUUCUAACAAACCAGUGUUGUGGUAACCUGGUACAAACUCCAGCAUUAGUGACAGGUCCCUGGGAUGUUUGUCUGGAUUAUUUCUCUGCUCUCCUCCUGUGCUAGUUUACUGCCCCCAGAAGAGGGGCUGUGGUGGUCUUCUUAUCCUCAGGCAGCGGAUACCUUAGUAGCAGUGCACAGACGCCCCUCCGCAGCAGCCCUCACUUUGCUUU